GACGAACGCUGGCGGCGUGCUUAAGACAUGCAAGUCGAACGGAAAGGCCCUGCUUUUGUGGGGUGCUCGAGUGGCGAACGGGUGAGUAACACGUGAGUAACCUGCCCUUGACUUUGGGAUAACUUCAGGAAACUGGGGCUAAUACCGGAUAGGAGCUCCUGCUGCAUGGUGGGGGUUGGAAAGUUUCGGCGGUUGGGGAUGGACUCGCGGCUUAUCAGCUUGUUGGUGGGGUAGUGGCUUACCAAGGCUUUGACGGGUAGCCGGCCUGAGAGGGUGACCGGCCACAUUGGGACUGAGAUACGGCCCAGACUCCUACGGGAGGCAGCAGUGGGGAAUAUUGCACAAUGGGCGGAAGCCUGAUGCAGCAACGCCGCGUGCGGGAUGACGGCCUUCGGGUUGUAAACCGCUUUCGCCUGUGACGAAGCGUGAGUGACGGUAAUGGGUAAAGAAGCACCGGCUAACUACGUG
rnacentral:rRNA from 1 species